rnacentral:rRNA from 1 species
GACAGAGGUGGCAAGCGUUGUUCGGAUUCAUUGGGUGUAAAGGGCAGGUAGGUGGCUGUGCAAGUCCGGUGUGAAAUCCCAGAGCUCAACUCUGGAACUGCAUUGGAAACUGCACGGCUUGAGUACCGGAGAGGUGAGGGGAAUUCUCGGUGUAAGGGUGAAAUCUGUAGAUAUCGAGAGGAACACCGGUGGCGAAGGCGGUUCUCUGGGCAUUACCUGACGCUGAGGAGCGAAAGUGUGGGGAGCGAACAGG